rnacentral:rRNA from 1 species
AUUGAACGCUGGCGGCAGGCCUAACACAUGCAAGUCGAACGGUAACAGGAAGCAGCUUGCUGCUUUGCUGACGAGUGGCGGACGGGUGAGUAAUGUCUGGGAAACUGCCCGAUGGAGGGGGAUAACUACUGGAAACGGUAGCUAAUACCGCAUAACGUCGCAAGACCAAAGAGGGGGACCUUAGGGCCUCUUGCCAUCGGAUGUGCCCAGAUGGGAUUAGCUAGUAGGUGGGGUAAUGGCUCACCUAGGCGACGAUCCCUAGCUGGUCUGAGGUGAUGACCAGCCACACUGGAGAUGAGACACGGGCCAGACUCCUACGGGAGGCAUCAGUAGGGAAUAUUGCACAAGGGGCGCAAGCCUGAUGCAGCCAUGCCGCGUGUAUGAAGAAGGCCUUCGGGUUGUAAAGUACUUUCAGCGGGGAGGAAGGGAGUAAAGUUAAUACCUUUGCUCAUUGACGUUACCCGCAGAAGAAGCACCGGCUAACUCCGUGCCAGCCGCCGCAGUAAAAC